rnacentral:piRNA from 1 species
AGCAAAUCCAGUGAGACUCUGAGCA